rnacentral:tRNA from 1 species
GGGCAGUUGGCAGAGUGGCUGAUUGCGGCAGGCUGUAACCCUGCUUCCCCAAAGGACGCGGUGGUUCGAAUCCAUCACUGCCCA